rnacentral:siRNA from 1 species
GAAAAUAUGGCGGAGCUUUGCAUC